rnacentral:rRNA from 1 species
GACGAACGCUGGCGGCGUGCCUAAUACAUGCAAGUCGAGCGAAUGGAUUAAGAGCUUGCUCUUAUGAAGUUAGCGGCGGACGGGUGAGUAACACGUGGGUAACCUGCCCAUAAGACUGGGAUAACUCCGGGAAACCGGGGCUAAUACCGGAUAACAUUUUGAACCGCAUGGUUCGACAUUGAAAGGCGGCUUCGGCUGUCACUUAUGGAUGGACCCGCGUCGCAUUAGCUCGUUGGUGAGGUAACGGCCCACAAAGGCAACGAUGCGUAGCCGACCUGAGAGGGUGAUCGGCCACACUGGGACUGAGACACGGCCCAGACUCCUACGGGAGGCAGCAGUAGGGAAUCUUCCGCAAUGGACGAAAGUCUGACGGAGCAACGCCGCGUGAGUGAUGAAGGCUUUCGGGUCGUAAAACUCUGUUGUUAGGGAAGAACAAGUGCUAGUUGAAUAAGCUGGCACCUUGACGGUACCUAACCAGAAAGCCACGGCUAACUACGUGCCAGCCGCCGCCGUAA